CAUCCAGACUCCUACGGGAGGCAGCAGUAGGGAAUCUUCCACAAUGGACGAAAGUCUGAUGGAGCAACGCCGCGUGAGUGAAGAAGGGUUUCGGCUCGUAAAGCUCUGUUGGUAGUGAAGAAAGAUAGAGGUAGUAACUGGCCUUUAUUUGACGGUAAUUACUUAGAAAGUCACGGCUAACUACGUGCCAGCAGCCGCGGUAAUACGGAGGAUGCGAGCGUUAUCCGGAUUUAUUGGGUUUAAAGGGUGCGUAGGCGGAUUUUUAAGUCAGCGGUCAAAUCGUGGGGCUCAACCCCAUCCAGCCGUUGAAACUGGGGAUCUAGAGUGUGCGAGAGGUAUGCGGAAUGCGCAGUGUAGCGGUGAAAUGCUUAGAUAUUGCGCAGAACUCCGAUUGCGAAGGCAGCAUACCGGCGGCGAUCUGACGCUGAGGCACGAAAGCGUGGGUAUCGAACAGGAUUAGAUACCCGCGUA
rnacentral:rRNA from 1 species